AUGCAGCAAUCAAAAAAAUAUUUUACAGCAUUUAUAUGUGUAAUUUGUAGAUUACAAGAACUUUUAUAAACAUUUAUUAUUCAAGUAAAGAACUGAUAAGGCUCUUCUGUUAAAAAUAAAAUUUAAAUUGAGAAGGCUAAUAUUAUAAGACAUAUGCAUAUGGUAAAGCGUGAGUUUCGAAAAGAAUAACAAAAAGAAAGUUUAUCAACUCUAUUUCUCUCUUUCUCCCUUUUCAAUUUCAGUCACCUCUAUAUGACACCGCAAACGAUAAUACUGCUGUAACGACCGUUCCAGAGACUUAGGUAGACCCGUAUUAAACAGUCGUGAACCGUCAUCGGUGGUAUCAAUUAUUCCUAAUCAUUGCAACAGAAGUGCCAUUGAAGAUCUCAUACGAAAUUUUUUCCUAAAUUGGCGCAAAUACAACGCAGCUAGUAUCUAACCGAUGUUAAAAGAAGAGAAUUUUCGAUUAAAAUUGAACCGAAUAAUUUGUCUGUUCUAAAUUUCUGAAUUUGGAAGCUUUAUUGAAGAAUCUUAGUCAGUCAUUUAAAAUAACGGUUGAGUCUUGGCACAUAAAAAAAAUUAAGAAAAGAACAGAAAAAGUUAUAUACAUACAUGAAACACGUAUAUUAAAUAUAAUAAUUUAUCCUUCAAUUUACUUGAUAUAGCGUUAUUUGCGAUCAUCAUCGCUAACAUUGUGUGUGCCUUCGAUGCAUCAAUGUUAUUUAGCGGCAAGACUGAAACUAUAUUUGCUAAUCUAUCUACAGCGAUUAUAACAUAUGUAGAAUUAAAGGAUAUAUCAAGUCUAAAAGAUCCAUCGUAUAUAAAACAAUUGUUACACAGAGAAAACACAGUAUUUAGUCCUAUCAAUAUAAUUAUGAUAACAUCCUUACUUUUAAACGGCGCUAAAGAAGGAGCAACAAAGAAUGAAUUGAUGUCUCUUUUGAAAAUUACUGAUAAUAUACAUUUAGACGGAUUCCUAGCUAUGCUUACUAAUUUAAAUGAUAUCGAAAACAUCGAAUUGCAUCUAAAAACCGCAGUAUAUGUUCAAAAUUCAGUUGAGCUAACGGCGGCUUUUUCAUCAAUAUGCGUAAAUAAAUUUAAUUGUUCGAUUUCAAAAGUAGAUUUCAGAAAUAAUAUAAAUGUUGCAGAAACUAUAAAUUCAUGGCUGCGAAAAACAACAAAUUACAAGAUAUUAUAUGACGUAAUUUCUUCAGGUAU